GGUUAAGCGACUAAGCGUACACGGUGGAUGCCCUGGCAGUCAGAGGCGAUGAAGGACGUGCUAAUCUGCGAAAAGCGUCGGUAAGGUGAUAUGAACCGUUAUAACCGGCGAUGUCCGAAUGGGGAAACCCAGUGCAAUUCGUUGCACUAUCGUUAACUGAAUACAUAGGUUAACGAGGCGAACCGGGGGAACUGAAACAUCUAAGUACCCCGAGGAAAAGAAAUCAACCGAGAUUCCCCCAGUAGCGGCGAGCGAACGGGGAGCAGCCCAGAGUCUGAAUCAGCUUGUGUGUUAGUGGAACGGUCUGGAAAGUCCGACGGUACAGGGUGAUAGUCCCGUACACCAAAAUGCACAGGCUGUGAACUCGAAGAGUAGGGCGGGACACGUGGUAUCCUGUCUGAAUAUGGGGGGACCAUCCUCCAAGGCUAAAUACUCCUGACUGACCGAUAGUGAACCAGUACCGUGAGGGAAAGGCGAAAAGAACCCCGGCGAGGGGAGUGAAAAAGAACCUGAAACCGUGUACGUACAAGCAGUGGGAGCACCUUCGGGUGUGACUGCGUACCUUUUGUAUAAUGGGUCAGCGACUUAUAUUCUGUAGCAAGGUUAACCGUAUAGGGGAGCCGCAGGGAAACCGAGUCUUAACUGGGCGUUAAGUUGCAGGGUAUAGACCCGAAACCCGGUGAUCUAGCCAUGGGCAGGUUGAAGGUUGGGUAACACUAACUGGAGGACCGAACCGACUAAUGUUGAAAAAUUAGCGGAUGACUUGUGGCUGGGGGUGAAAGGCCAAUCAAACCGGGAGAUAGCUGGUUCUCCCCGAAAGCUAUUUAGGUAGCGCCUCGUGAAUUCAUCUUCGGGGGUAGAGCACUGUUUCGGCUAGGGGGUCAUCCCGACUUACCAACCCGAUGCAAACUACGAAUACCGAAGAAUGUUAUCACGGGAGACACACGGCGGGUGCUAACGUCCGUCGUGAAGAGGGAAACAACCCAGACCGCCAGCUAAGGUCCCAAAGUCAUGGUUAAGUGGGAAACGAUGUGGGAAGGCACAGACAGCCAGGAUGUUGGCUUAGAAGCAGCCAUCAUUUAAAGAAAGCGUAAUAGCUCACUGGUCGAGUCGGCCUGCGCGGAAGAUGUAACGGGGCUAAACCAUGCACCGAAGCUGCGGCAGCGACACUAUGUGUUGUUGGGUAGGGGAGCGUUCUGUAAGCCUGCGAAGGUGACCUGUGAGGGUUGCUGGAGGUAUCAGAAGUGCGAAUGCUGACAUAAGUAACGAUAAAGCGGGUGAAAAGCCCGCUCGCCGGAAGACCAAGGGUUCCUGUCCAACGUUAAUCGGGGCAGGGUGAGUCGACCCCUAAGGCGAGGCCGAAAGGCGUAGUCGAUGGGAAACAGGUUAAUAUUCCUGUACUUGGUGUUACUGCGAAGGGGGACGGAGAAGGCUAUGUUAGCCGGGCGACGGUUGUCCCGGUUUAAGCAUGUAGGCUGGUUAUCCAGGCAAAUCCGGAUAAUCAAGGCUGAGGUGUGAUGACGAGGCACUACGGUGCUGAAGUAACAAAUGCCCUGCUUCCAGGAAAAGCCUCUAAGCAUCAGGUAACAUCAAAUCGUACCCCAAACCGACACAGGUGGUCAGGUAGAGAAUACCAAGGCGCUUGAGAGAACUCGGGUGAAGGAACUAGGCAAAAUGGUGCCGUAACUUCGGGAGAAGGCACGCUGGUGUGUAGGUGAAGUCCCUGCGGAUGGAGCUGAGACCAGUCGAAGAUACCAGCUGGCUGCAACUGUUUAUUAAAAACACAGCACUGUGCAAACACGAAAGUGGACGUAUACGGUGUGACGCCUGCCCGGUGCCGGAAGGUUAAUUGAUGGGGUUAUCCGUAAGGAGAAGCUCUUGAUCGAAGCCCCGGUAAACGGCGGCCGUAACUAUAACGGUCCUAAGGUAGCGAAAUUCCUUGUCGGGUAAGUUCCGACCUGCACGAAUGGCGUAAUGAUGGCCAGGCUGUCUCCACCCGAGACUCAGUGAAAUUGAACUCGCUGUGAAGAUGCAGUGUACCCGCGGCAAGACGGAAAGACCCCGUGAACCUUUACUAUAGCUUGACACUGAACAUUGAGCCUUGAUGUGUAGGAUAGGUGGGAGGCUUUGAAGCGUGGACGCCAGUCUGCGUGGAGCCAACCUUGAAAUACCACCCUUUAAUGUUUGAUGUUCUAACGUUGGCCCCUGACCGGGGUUGCGGACAGUGUCUGGUGGGUAGUUUGACUGGGGCGGUCUCCUCCCAAAGCGUAACGGAGGAGCACGAAGGUUAGCUAAUCCUGGUCGGACAUCAGGAGGUUAGUGCAAUGGCAUAAGCUAGCUUGACUGCGAGCGUGACGGCGCGAGCAGGUGCGAAAGCAGGUCAUAGUGAUCCGGUGGUUCUGAAUGGAAGGGCCAUCGCUCAACGGAUAAAAGGUACUCCGGGGAUAACAGGCUGAUACCGCCCAAGAGUUCAUAUCGACGGCGGUGUUUGGCACCUCGAUGUCGGCUCAUCACAUCCUGGGGCUGAAGUAGGUCCCAAGGGUAUGGCUGUUCGCCAUUUAAAGUGGUACGCGAGCUGGGUUUAGAACGUCGUGAGACAGUUCGGUCCCUAUCUGCCGUGGGCGCUGGAGAAUUGAGGGGGGCUGCUCCUAGUACGAGAGGACCGGAGUGGACGCAUCACUGGUGUUCGGGUUGUCAUGCCAAUGGCACUGCCCGGUAGCUAAAUGCGGAAGAGAUAAGUGCUGAAAGCAUCUAAGCACGAAACUUGCCCCGAGAUGAGUUCUCCCUGAGACUUUAAGUCUCCUGAAGGAACGUUAAAGACGAUGACGUUGAUAGGCCGGGUGUGUAAGCGCAGCGAUGCGUUGAGCUAACCGGUACUAAUGAACCGUGAGGCUUAACCUU
rnacentral:rRNA from 1 species